CUGUACUGUUUGUUUUGUGGUCUGUUCACUAUACGUGUCCCCACUGUGUGUAAACCUCUGUGGGCAGUCAUCUUACUCCUUGUUUAUCUCCAUGCGCCCAGUGUACAGGGGGCCACCUCAUACACAGUACUGUCCAAUAAACAUUUAUCAGUUGCAGAGACUGAACACACAGGCUGUUUAUGUGGUCAGCUCUGACCUGUCCUCUCAGACCUGUACCUGCACUAACAAGAUCAGUGCAACCUAUUUCCCAGGACUCAAGCUGGCCACGGAGCAUCCAUUCUGCCGGAAGUGGUGAGGGUGAUCACCAGCUAUGACCAGUGCUGUCUAAACUAUGGUGAAAUGUGGAUCCCUUCUCAGCGACUGACAGAUGGCUCUCCGUGUGUACAGGUUACUGAAUUCCACAGUAUGGCACUCAGCAGGACUCUGAGCUAAUCUCGGUCUUCCUGGCAAGAAGGAGAGGAGUCGAUGAGUGAUGCCUAGACUCAAUACAUGAUGCCUAAGCUGGGGGGAAAAUGCACUCGUU
rnacentral:lncRNA from 1 species